rnacentral:rRNA from 1 species
GACGAACGCUGGCGGCGUGCUUAACACAUGCAAGUCGAACGGAAAGGCCCUGCUUUUGUGGGGUGCUCGAGUGGCGAACGGGUGAGUAACACGUGAGUAACCUGCCCUUGACUUUGGGAUAACUUCAGGAAACUGGGGCUAAUACCGGAUAGGAGCUCCUGCUGCUUGGGGGGGGUUGGAAAGUUUCGGCGGUUGGGGAUGGACUCGCGGCUUAUCAGCUUGUUGGUGGGGUAGUGGCUUAACAAGGCUUUGACGGGUAGCCGGCCUGAUAGGGUGACCGGCCAGAUUGGGACUGACAUACGGCCCAGACUCCGACGGAAGGCAGCAGUGACGAAUAUUGCACAAUGGGCGGAAGCCUGAUGCAGCAACGCAGCGUUCGUGAUGACGGCCUUCGGAUUGUAAACCGCUUUCGCCUGUGACGAAGCGUGAGUGACGGGAAUGGGUAAAGAAGCAACGGCUAACUACGUG